rnacentral:rRNA from 1 species
CCUACGGGUGGCAGCAGUGAGGAAUAUUGGUCAAUGGGAGAGAUCCUGAACCAGCCAAGCCGCGUGAGGGAAGACGGCCCUAUGGGUUGUAAACCUCUUUUGUCGGAGAACAAAACCCGGGACGUGUCCCGGACUGCGUGUAUCCGAAGAAAAAGCAUCGGCUAACUCCGUGCCAGCAGCCGCGGUAAUACGGAGGAUGCGAGCGUUAUCCGGAUUUAUUGGGUUUAAAGGGUGCGCAGGCGGCCUGUUAAGUCAGCGGUAAAAGCCCGGGGCUCAACCCCGGCGAGCCGUUGAAACUGGCGGGCUGGAGUUGGAGAGAAGUACGCGGAAUGCGCGGUGUAGCGGUGAAAUGCUUAGAUAUCACGAAGAACUCCGAUUGCGAAGGCAGCUUACUAAACUGCCACUGACAUUGAUGCUCGAAAGUGUGGGUAUCAAACAGGAUUAGAUACCCUAGUAGUC